rnacentral:lncRNA from 1 species
GGCUCAGAUAAAGACCACUGUGAAGAGAAAAGUAUACGAAGACUCCGGUAUCCCCCUUCCAGCUGAGUCACCCAAGAAAGGUCCCAAGAAGAUGACAUCCGGUGUCCUCUCACCUCCAAACGCCCCUCCGCCCAGCAGCUCCAGUGUCCCUGAAGCUGGGGGUCCUCCCAUAAAGAAACAGAAGACAGCCUGACCCUGGACUCUGGCCUUCUCUCGACCUCUGCUGAUGCUCCUCUACUCUCCUGCUGAGCCUUCCACCUCUGACCCUCAUUGUUCACCCUGGACCUGUGGAUCGCCUGGGACUCUAAGCAAGGACUGCACGAGA